rnacentral:lncRNA from 1 species
UGUCUCUGUACUUCUCCUUUAUAACCAGACCCUUAAAAACUGCUGUCCCUGAGUUAUUGGGGCCUGAUGUUUUGAGGGACAAUUGAUUCCCUUUCAGUGCUCAUCUAACAUCAAGUAUAUCAGCCUGCAAAUCCUGGGUGUCAUUUUGGUAUUUCUGCUUGCCAUUGCAUCUAGUGCAUUGGUAGGAAAGACCAACUGAGCUCUCCUAUUUGGUCACCAGUCAUGCCCCUCACAGAUGAAGCAAGGACCUCUCCAGGUACCAAAGGGAAGAUUUAAAUCAGAUUUAGGAAAUAUGAAACUUCCCUAUACAUCAAAAUCCAGAUGAACUGUCUUAUUUGGUAUGGAAAGAGAGGAAUAUGAGGUAAGUUUCACUAAAUCCACAAUAAUAAAGGGUCUUAUCCCACACCAGAUUAUAC